CUCUUUCCAUUCCUCCCUCCUCCUCGUCUUGCCGCCGCAAGGUAAGCCACUCCACGCCAUAGCCGUCGCCAACGCCAUGCCCAAGCUCUACUCUGGCGCGAUCAAGCUCGUCGUCGUCGUCUUCUUCCUCGGGGAGCGACGCACGCGUCCCCGACUUUGUCCCCGUCUCCGUCCCCGACCGAUUCCGAUGGGUGGCUGGACUGGAUCGCCUCCCACGCUGUCGUCCACGUCUUUGUCUUCUUCCUCUACCUCCUCUACGUCAUGAACGCCGGCUCCUCUGCUUCCCCGUCGUCAACCUCGUACGACUCCAGCAGCACCCCCACGGUGAAGCCCCGCUCCUCCCCAACUCUCUCUCCGUUUGAAUUCUGUCGCCAUAGCUCUCCCGCAAGCCGCACCGUGUCGCACCACCUAGCUUCAGCCGCCCACCUCGUCGUGCUUCGCUGCCAGGGCCACAAGCACGCAGAAUCCCUGUUCACCCAUGCUUCAGCACGCUCUCUGACACCUCGCCGCGCCCUGCCUGGCUGCUUGCCUCGUCUCGCAUACCCAUCUCCCCUGCCUCACCGCGCCAUGUCGGGACCCCGAGCCGAGCAACGCUAGAGCUUGUGCGCCCCGCAACCUCCGCCUGCGUGAGCCGAAGCCCCCCUCCAACCCGCACACCCUUGCAUCUCGAGCACGCCGGGAAGCAUGUCCGGAGAGGUAGCUCUGCAUCCUCUGUUUCUUUGCACGCGCACACCUGAAGCCUCGCUCGUCGUCUUGCAUAUCUCUGCAGACGCCGUGCCCGAAGCGAGCAUGAGCUCGUCCUCGAGAUCCCGCACACCCGAGCCUUCUGCACGACCUAUCCAUUCUUGCGCAUGCCCACAACACAGCUUGUGCCCCACGUCUGUGUUGCCCGCCCGUGUCGUCGCUUCAACCAGCAUCGCCAGCCCCAUGCCUCGAUGUGCCCGAAUCGAGCUCCUGCUCGUGCCCGAGCGCACGCACGCACACGACACCGAGAAGCAGCGGCCGUUUGCUCCCGCGCACGCAUGUUGUUCCCGCACGCCCGCUGCCGCCUACGGAGCCCUUCCGUGCCGCCGUUGAUCGUCGGCGACGACGCCAUCUCCUUUGUCUCCGUAGAAGAAGCCAAGCCAGGCCUUGAACUGGUUUAAAUCAGCUAGGCCGCACCUUCUGUCAAACUAUCACAGUCUAGCCCAGUCGCUCAACCCUCUCUGGCUUACCCAGCAGACCCGGGUUCGAAUCUCCAUGUGGCCAGUGGUGAGAAUGCCCAAUUUUUGCCAUUUUGGUUUCUAUGUCAGUAGACCCCACUCGUCAUCCUCUCUGCCCACACAGCCUCCCGUCCACACCCACACUCCUGCCACCUCGGCACGCCGGGCCCUCUCGUCAUUGACAGUGGCUGGCUCAGCCCGUGUUCCCCUGUUGUUUUAUUUUCUUUGGCAUAAUUUUAGAAAAAGUCCCUGUUUUGUUUUGUUAAUAACUAAAUAUGUAUGCAUCCAAAUUAAUCAAACUGUAUAUGUAAAAUGCUUAGAAUUUUAUCUAGUUUCAUAAUAUGCAUCAUUCAUCCCUGUUUAAAAUGUUUAACUUGCUGUUUAAAUUAAUUUGCUGAAUGCCAUGCUAAAAUGAUUUAUUUCAUAACUAAAUAACCGUAGCUCCGAAUUUAAUAAACUUUAUAUGUAAAUGGGGUGGAAAAAUGCAUAGGUUAACAUGGUAGCAUUAUUUGGCAUGUUUAGCAACUCUAAAAUUAUGUAAUAGGCAGAACAGUACCGAAUCUAAAAUAUGCACAUGGGGAUUUUUCGGAAUUGUUGCUUGUUGUUCCAGCCUCAUUUAAACUUGCCUAGAUAGGUAGAUUAAUUAUGCUUCACCUCUUGCCAUGUUUAACAAUAUUUAAUAUUGUUUGGUAGCUUAAACGAGAUUGAACUAAAUAUGUCCAUGUGGUGUUUUGUCAAUAUGCAACUCGUUGCAUGUUGAGCUCCACUUAAUUUGUAGGAUUGUUUGUGCACUUUUCCAUGCCAUGCCUCAUUAAACCGGACAUGCAUCAUACUUGAUUGUGCAUCAUGCCAUGUUUAUGCUUGGUGUUUACCAUGUUGUUUCCUUCUUUCCGGUUUGCUUCUCUCGUUAGCUUCGGUUUUGUUCCGGAGUUGUGAGGAUUCGUUCGACUACGUUGGUUCGUCUACUUCAUGGACUCGUUCUUCUUCCUAGCGGGAUUUCAGGCAAGAUGACCGCUACCCUGGAUCUCACUACUAUCAUUGCUAUGCUAGUUGUUUCGUUCUAUCGCUAUGCUGCGGUACCUAUCACCUGUUUAUCAAGCCUCCCAUAUUGCCAUGAACCUCUAACCUUUGACACCCUUCCUAGCAAACCGUUGCUUGGCUAUGUUACCGCUUUGCUCAGCCCUCUUAUAGCAUUGCUAGUUGCAGGUGAAGUUGAAGAUUUCUCCAUGGUGCACAGGAUUUUGGUUGGGAUAUCACAAUAUCUCUUAUAUUAUUAAUGCAUCUAUAUAUUUGGUAAAGGGUGGAAGGCUCGGCCUUAUGCCUGGUGUUUUUUUCCACUCUUGCCGCCCUAGUUUCCGUCAUACCGGUGUUAUGUUCCCGGAUUUUGCGUUCCUUACGCGGUCGGGUGAUUUAUGGGACCCCCUCGACAGUUCGCUUUGAAUAAAACUCCUCCAGCAAGGCUCAACAUUGGUUUUACCAUUUGCCUCACCAUCACCUACAUUUCCCUUGGGAGUAAUUAACCCGAGGGUCAUCUUUAUUUUUAGCCCCCCCCCGGGCCAGUGCUUGUCUAAGUGUUGGUCCAAACCGAGCGAUGUAUGGCGCCCCCUGGGCAACCAGGGUCUAUGCCAACCCGUCGUCUUGCUCAUCCGGGGUGCCCUGAGAACGAGAUAUGUGCAGCUCCUAUCGGGAUUUGUCGGCACAUCGGGCGGCUUUGCUGGUCUUGUUUUACCAUUGUCAAAAUGUCUUGUAAACCGGGAUUCCGAGUCUGAUCGGGUCUUCCUGGGAGAAGGUCUAUUCCUUCGUUGAUCGCGAGAGCUUGUCAUGGGCUAAGUUGGGACACCCCUGCAGGGUGUAAACUUUCGAAAGCCGUGCCUGCAGUUAUAGGCAGAUGGGAAUUUGUUAAUGUCCGGUUGUAGAUAACUUGACACCAGAUCCGAAUUAAAACACAUCAACCGUGUGUGUAGCCGUGAUGGUCUCUUUUCGGCGGAGUCCGGGAAGUGAACACGGUUUAUGGGUUAUGUUUGACGUAAGUAGGAGUUCAGGAUCACUUCUUGAUCAUUGCUAGUUUCACGACCGUUCCAUUGCUCCUCUUCUCGCUCUUAUUUGCGUAUGUUAGCCACCAUAUAUGCUUAGUCGCUGCUGCAACCUCACCACUUUACCCCUUCCUUUCCCUUUAAGCUUUGCUAGUCUUGAUACCCAUGGUAAUGGGAUUGCUGAGUCCUCGUGGCUCACAGAUUACUACAACAACAGUUGCAGGUACAGGUUAUGCGAUGAUCAUGACGCAAGAGCGAUGCUUGUUUGCAUUGAGAUCUUCUUCUGCUCCUUCGAUCAAGGGAUAGGUUCCAGGUCGGCAGCCUGGGCUAGCAGGGUGGAUGUCGUUUCAGUUUCUGUUUGUGUUUCAUCCGUAGUCGGAUGAUGCUCUGAUGUAUUGUGAUGUUCUAUUCAUGUGGCAUUGAUGUAAUGAUAUCCACCUUGCAAAAGCGUUUCAAUAUGCGGGUCUAUCCUUGGUGGGACCUUCGAGUUCCUUUUGGAUAGGGUCGCAUAUUGGGCGUGACAACCGACAUGUCAACUCGGUGGGACCGGUAUGGUUAGGGUUAGGGCAUAACGUAAUCUCGGUGAGACCGAUUACAUAACACAAGUGUAGGCUACGCAUUACUAAACCCGAGCGAUCGAUUCCUUCGCUACUGCGGCUAACUAAAGUCGAUCGAUGCUGCCUCUCUAGAUCAACAGUGAGCGUUGCGGGGUGGUUUGGAUGAACAGUGAGCGGUGGGAGUGGAUGAACAGGACCCGUGGCGUUACCUCUGGAUGAACAGGACCCCGUGGUGUGGAGGGCUGGAUGAACAGGACGACCCCGUGGAGGGUUGGAUGAACAGUAGACGGUGGAGGGGUGGAUGAACAGUAGCCCGUGGAGGGGUGGUUGAAUAGGAGCCCGUGGAGAGGGGUGGCUGAACAUUAGCCGGUGGAGUAGUGCGCGGUGGAGGCUGGAUGAACAGGAGCCCGUGGAUGAACAGUCACAGGUGGAGGCUAGAGGUGGUCGUCGGUGGAUGAACAGUAGCCCGUGGAGGCUGGAUGAGGUCGAC
rnacentral:lncRNA from 1 species